UAUAUAAGGAGGUAAGGCCUGCUCACUGAAUUUUGAAGAGCCGCAGUAUCCUGACUGUGCUAAGGUAGCAUAAUAAUUUGUCUCUUAAUUGGGGACUAGAAUGAAUGGUCUAACGAGAAAUUAACUUUUUUAGGAAUAAUAAUUAAACUUAAUUUUUUAGUGAAAAAGCUAAAAUAAGAUAAAAAGACGAGAAGACCCUAUAGAGUUUUAUAUAUAAAUUAUUUACAUUUUAAUAACUUUUUAGAAUUGUAAAUAAAGACUAUAUUUUGUUGGGGCGACAUUUAGAUAAAAAAAACUUUUUAUAUUAAAAACUCAAAUUUGAGUAUUUACUGAUCCUUAAAAAAGAUUAAAAGUAUAAAUUACCUUAGGGAUAACAGCGUAAUCUCCCUUGAGAGCUCAAAUCGACAGGGAGGUUUGCGACCUCGAUGUUGGACUAAAAUUAAACUAAGGUGCAGAAGUCUUAGAUUUAGGUCUGUUCGACCUAUAGAUUUUU
rnacentral:rRNA from 1 species